rnacentral:rRNA from 1 species
CCUACGGGUGGUAGCAGUGGGGAAUAUUGCACAAUGGGGGAAACCCUGAUGCAGCGACGCCGCGUGAGUGAAGUAGUCAUUCGUUAUGUAAAGCUCUAUCAGCAGGGAAGAAAAUGACGGUACCUGAGUAAGAAGCCCCGGCUAACUACGUGCCAGCAGCCGCGGUAAUACGGAGGGUGCGAGCGUUAAUCGGAAUUACUGGGCGUAACGCGCUCGUAGGCGGUAUGUCAAGUCAAGGGUGAAAUCCCCGCGCUCAACGUGGGAACUGCCUUUGAAACUGGCAAACUGGAGUGUGUGAGAGGAUAGUGGAAUUCCAGGUGUAGGAGUGAAAUCCGUAGAUAUCUGGAGGAACAUCAGUGGCGAAGGCGACUAUCUGGCACAUAACUGACGCUGAGGAGCGAAAGCGUGGGUAGCAAACAGGAUUAGAUACCCCUGUAGUC